UCUCAGGUUGAAACUGGAGGAAGCCAAAGAAGUGCAGAAUCUGAGGAAGAGACCAAAUGGCGUCAGCGCGGCCGCUUUGCUCGUGGGAGAAAAGCUACCAGAAGAGACCACUUUGGUGGAUGAUCCUUUUAAGGUCAAGACGGGCGGCAUGGUGGACAUGAAGAAGCUGAAAGAACGGGGUAAAGACAGGUAUUAUUAUU